rnacentral:rRNA from 1 species
AAACUCAAAGGAAUUGACGGGGGCCCGCACAAGCAGCGGAGCGUGUGGUUUAAUUCGAGGCUACACGAAGAACCUUACCUGGGUUUGACAUCACGGUGGUAGGGAACCGAAAGGGGACCGACCGCAAGGAGCCGUGACAGGUGCUGCAUGGCUGUCGUCAGCUCGUGUCGUGAGAUGUUCGGUUAAGUCCGAAAACGAGCGCAACCCUCGGGGGAAGUUACACGUGUCUGACCCGACUGCCUGCGAGAAGCAGGAGGAAGGUGGGGAUGACGUCAAGUCAGCAUGGCCUUUAUAUCCAGGGCUACACACACGCUACAAUGGGCAGUACAGUGGGAAGCGAAGCCGCGAGGCGGAGCGGAUCCAAAAAGCUGUUCUAAGUUCGGAUUGCAGGCUGCAACUCGCCUGCAUGAAGCUGGAGUUGCUAGUAACCGCAGGUCAGCGAUACUGCGGUGAAUACGUUCCCGGGCCUUGUACACACCGCCCGUCACGUCAUGGGAGCUGGUCACGCCUGAAGCCGAUGAGCGAACCGCAAGGGAGCAGUCGUCGAAGGCAGGGCUGGUGACUGGGACGAAGUCGUAACAAGGUAGCUGUAGCGGAAGCUGCGGCUGGAUCACCUCCUUUAUG